AGGCUUAACACAUGCAAGUCGAGGGGAAACGACAUCGAAAGCUUGCUUUUGAUGGGCGUCGACCGGCGCACGGGUGAGUAACGCGUAUCCAACCUGCCCACCACUUGGGGAUAACCUUGCGAAAGUAAGACUAAUACCCAAUGACGUCUCUAGAAGACAUCUGAAGGAGAUUAAAGAUUUAUCGGUGAUGGAUGGGGAUGCGUCUGAUUAGCUUGUUGGCGGGGUAACGGCCCACCAAGGCAACGAUCAGUAGGGGUUCUGAGAGGAAGGUCCCCCACAUUGGAACUGAGACACGGUCCAAACUCCUACGGGAGGCAGCAGUGAGGAAUAUUGGUCAAUGGGCGAGAGCCUGAACCAGCCAAGUAGCGUGCAGGAUGACGGCCCUAUGGGUUGUAAACUGCUUUUAUAAGGGAAUAAAGUGAGUCUCGUGAGACUUUUUGCAUGUACCUUAUGAAUAAGGACCGGCUAAUUCCGUGCCAGCAGCCGCGGUAAUACGGAAGGUCCGGGCGUUAUCCGGAUUUAUUGGGUUUAAAGGGAGCGUAGGCCGGAGAUUAAGCGUGUUGUGAAAUGUAGACGCUCAACGUCUGCACUGCAGCGCGAACUGGUUUCCUUGAGUACGCACAAAGUGGGCGGAAUUCGUGGUGUAGCGGUGAAAUGCUUAGAUAUCACGAAGAACUCCGAUUGCGAAGGCAGCUCACUGGAGCGCAACUGACGCUGAAGCUCGAAAGUGCGGGUAUCGAACAGGAUUAGAUACCCUGGUAGUCCGCACGGUAAACGAUGGAUGCCCGCUGUUGGUCUGAAUAGGUCAGCGGCCAAGCGAAAGCAUUAAGCAUCCCACCUGGGGAGUACGCCGGCAACGGUGAAA
rnacentral:rRNA from 1 species